AUGUUUGAACAAGAGUGGAUUUCUGGCAGUAUUAUAUAAAGCGUAGAUUUUGUUUCUGCACUCUAAAAUGCAGUCCAAAUGCAAUGCUUCCAAGAACUUAGAGAAAGAAAAUAAUCUUGGAAUAUGCUUUAAAAAGCCAUGUUCAAUUUCAUAUGCAACAAUGGCAGCUCGAAUAAGAUCAUAUGCAAAUUGGACACGAACUUCACCAAGGCCAGUAGAUCUAGCAGAUGCAGGAUUCUUUUAUACAGGUACUGAAGAUGUGGUCCAGUGUUUCUAUUGUGGAUUAAAGCUCCGAAGAUGGGAUGUUUUCGAUAAUCCUUGGGUGGAACAUGCUAGACACGGGAAGAACUGCCCUCAUGUCAGUAAUGUGAAAGGGGAUCAAUUCUUUAAACAGAUGAAACAGUCACAAAACGAUAUCUUUAUUCCGAUGAUUUGAUCUGUACAACAGCAGCUCAGGUUUUGGUCAGUAUGAGAUGUUACAAGGAACAAGAUAUUAUGGACGCCAUCAAAUUGUUUGUAGCAGAAAAAGAUACUUUAGAUUUCCAUGCGUCAGAUAUUUUAACAGUUUUACAAAAGUGUUCCUGACGAUGUAUGCAACUGUCUGCCGAACAAAUGCAGAGUUCAAUAUUAAAGUGCACAAAAUGGGUGAUAUUUAAAGAUAUAAACAACAGGAUGUACUGUAUCAUGAUGCUGAUUGCUUUGUCGUUUUGUUGUGCUGCCUUGGCCGCAGUAAUUCGUCCAACGGAAUCAAACAAGGUACAGUCAGUAGGACACAAUUCUAUAAAUGGACUGCAAAAGUUCAUAGUAGACCCUACCAGGUUACUUUCUCCGUAUAAGAAUGACACGAAUAACGCACAUUUUAAAUCGUACAAAAUCAUGUUUCAUCCUCCAAAUAAUUUUCAAUCUAAAUACGGUAACUUCUUCAAAUAUGAUAUUCAAAAGAGAACCGUAACUAUAAUGAAAGAUGGCUAUGCAAGAUUUAACAUUGUUGUCUCUCUUAAUACGAGACGCGUGAAGAACAGUUACAUCAAGAUCAUGUUAAAACUGGUUGUUGGGGGAGAGGAAAAAUCAAUUACUGCUAUGUAUUUAUCUCCUAAUUUUAUAAUACCUUUAAGAAUAGAUACAACUAUUCAAGUAAAGAAUGGAGAGAAAGUAGAAGUGAUAACCAAUAAUAAUGCUAUUGAUAAAAGGGCCUUUUAUACAUCCAUGGAAGUUACGUGGUUAUGAAAAAUUAAGCAUGGGUGAUUAACAUGCCACUGUGUUCACUUACUUGCUGCGCAGACAAAGUUCUUGCACAGGGCUUUAAGCACCAGACAAUGCCAUCAAACAGAAUUAUAUACAUUGGUUGUCAUCUUAUAUGCUAUUCCAUCCUACAUCUUUCACACCGUGUCAUGAAGAAGUGGUAAAGAGCAACGUGAAAGUGUCGCAAAUGUGAAGGAACGCUCAUGAUUGUCAAACAUGAUUGCGUAUGCAAUGCGGUUCUAAAGCCACAGGAAGCACAAGAACAACUAAAAAAAAGUAUAUAGAAAGGAAAAAGACACCACCAAAGACCAUGAUUGAACAAGGCGAUGUGCGUACAACUAUGAUAUUCUAUAUGAAGGAAAUGAAAGACGAAAAUGAAUUUACGACCCGAUACAGCUACAAUAUUUCAAAUACUUCAAUGACUGAGCUUAUGAGUGUUUUCCAUUGAACAUAUUCAUUCCUAUCAGAGUCUCACAGACUGAUUGAAACGUAACAUGAACUUUAAAUUUACAUCAUCCAUGCAAAAUAUUUUAAUAGUUUAUAUAGAUACCAUUUAGAUUCAAUGUAAAACUUUCAUUACUUAAGAGAACAGAGCACUCUAUUAUAGUAAUAGACGUCAUAACGAUGAAGAUAGCAUUUUGUUUUAUAUUUCUUUUUCCCGACAAUUAUUUUUCUUUAAAUCUUUUUCGAUAGAACUUUUUUCAUAUGAAAAUAAGGGAAUGUAGUAUGAUUGCUAGUGAGACAACUACCGAACAGAGACCAAACGGGAUAUGUUUUUCUAAAAGCAGCUUCUGAAGUUAUUCAUAUGAAAUAUUUGAUAAUUUGGGACAAAAUUUUGCCACAUAUAAGUCAUUAAACUCGGUAUGAGAAUAUGAAUAAAAAUCAAAAUAUAAAAUGAAAUAUUAAAUACUUUGUGAAACUCUUAUGCAUAUUAUUUUUACUUUUAAAGUAAAAAUAUGAAUUAAGUAGACGACUAUUUGAUAUUAUGGGGUCCAGAUGGAUUUUUCUCGGAUUUUUUUUAUUAACAUCUGUUGCAACGUAUGCUGAUUUUUUGCAACAGCUUUGUCGCAGGAUAACUUAUUUAAGCUUUUGUACACAAUUAAUUUCUGAAUUUUGUGUUGCAGAAUAUUCAUUUCCAUUCUGUCCUAGGCAAAGUUAUUUAUAUUUUCAGCUCUAACCAGGCCAGGAUAUUCAUUUUCAAAGUCCCCCCCUCCCCAAAUCAAAUUGUCGUCCCCUUGGUUGUAUUCCAAAAUAAAUCUGUGGGGUACCGAUACGUACCCUUUGCGAAAACAAAAUGGUGAUGCCCCUAUCCCGUAAAAAAAUGAAAUAAAGCGAUAAGUCCAUGCUUUUGUAGUAACAAUUCCCAAGGUGAUUCUGUUAAAAAAAAAAGAAGUGCACAAUAAAAAUAUAUGGUUAAAAGUGUGAAAAAAGUUUCAAUAAACUGUAAUAUGGAUUUACGGAGGAGUUGCGGGUACAAAACGGGUACUCCACAGAUGUAUUUUGUUGUGUUAUUUGACUGUUGCUUGUCUUUUGGUCGUUUUCUAUUUUUUGUCUUGACGUUGUCAUUUUGAUUUUCGACUUAUGAAUUUGAAUGUCUCUUUGGUAUCUUUCGCCUCUCUUCUAAAACUAGAGGUUCAUGAGCAAAAGUCACAAUGACACCUCGCCCCUUAUUAAGUCUAUGCUUUGAAAUGCGAAACCCAAAACUAUUUAAUCAAAAUAGGAGGGACAAUUUACCAACAUAAGGGGAAAAUUCUGAGUAAAUUUCAUCAAAUACUGAUUUGUCCUUUGGGAGGAGGACGAGAUAUACAUAUGUACUGUAGUGUACACAAAUGUUUGGGAAAAUCCACGAAAAUGGCUCUGAUAAAAUAAAAUAGGAGGUGAACAAUGGAAUUAAACAAUUAAGUUUGUGAGGAAGUUUGAAACAAUUGUAAUAAGGGGUUUAAGAGGAGUUGCGUAAACAAAAUGGUUGAUACCCCUCCCCUUACCCUCCGCUUCCCUUCCCCCCCUCCCCCCUCCCCGAAAAAUAACAAUAAAGCGAUUAGCAAAUCUAUGCUUUUGUAAGGGGAACCCCUAAAGAUAUUUGGUUAAAAAACUAAAUAUUAUUAUGUAUUAUUAUGUACGCAUCUGUGUUUCUGUAUACCAUUGUAUCAACAAAGGUUGUUUUUUUUUUCAGAAUAAAAUAUAUAUAUAUAUA